rnacentral:rRNA from 1 species
CAGGGAUUGCCCCAGUAACGGCGAGUGAAGCGGCAACAGCUCAAAUUUGAAAUCUGGCCCCAGGCCCGAGUUGUAAUUUGCAGAGGAUGCUUUUGGCGCGGUGCCUUCCGAGUUCCCUGGAACGGGACGCCAUAGAGGGUGAGAGCCCCGUACGGUUGGACACCAAGUCUUUGUAAAGCUCCUUCGACGAGUCGAGUAGUUUGGGAAUGCUGCUCAAAAUGGGAGGUAUAUUUCUUCUAAAGCUAAAUAUUGGCCAGAGACCGAUAGCGCACAAGUAGAGUGAUCGAAAGAUGAAAAGCACUUUGAAAAGAGGGUUAAACAGCACGUGAAAUUGUUAAAAGGGAAGCGCUUAUGACCAGACUUGCGCCCGGUGAAUCACCCAGCUCUCGCGGCUGGGGCACUUUGCCGGCUCAGGCCAGCAUCAGCUCGCUGUCGGGGACAAAAGCUUCGGGAACGUAGCUCUCUUCGGGGAGUGUUAUAGCCCGUUGCACAAUACCCUUCGGCGGGCUGAGGUACGCGCUCCGCAAGGAUGCUGGCGUAAUGGUCAUCAGCGACCCGUCUUGAAACACGGACCAAGGAGUCAACCUUAUGUGCGAGUGUUUGGGUGUCAAACCCCUACGCGUAAUGAAAGUGAACGCAGGUGAGAGCUUCGGCGCAUCAUCGACCGAUCCUGAUGUUCUCGGAUGGAUUUGAGUAAGAGCAUAUAGGGUUGGACCCGAAAGAAGGUGAACUAUGCGUGUAUAGGGUGAAGCCAGAGGAAACUCUGGUGGAGGCUCGCAGCGGUUCUGACGUGCAAAUCGAUCGUCAAAUAUGCGCAUGGNGGCGAAAGACUAAUCGAACCUUCUAGUAGCUGG